AACGAACGCUGGCGGCAGGCCUAACACAUGCAAGUCGAGCGAAGCCUUCGGGCUUAGCGGCGGACGGGUUAGUAACGCGUGGGAACGUACCCUUUUCUACGGAAUAGUCUCGGGAAACUGAGGGUAAUACCGUAUACGCCCUUCGGGGGAAAGAUUUAUCGGAGAAGGAUCGGCCCGCGUUAGAUUAGAUAGUUGGUGGGGUAAUGGCCUACCAAGUCUACGAUCUAUAGCUGGUUUGAGAGGAUGAUCAGCAACACUGGGACUGAGACACGGCCCAGACUCCUACGGGAGGCAGCAGUGGGGAAUCUUAGACAAUGGGCGCAAGCCUGAUCUAGCCAUGCCGCGUGAGUGAAGAAGGCCCUAGGGUCGUAAAGCUCUUUCGCCUGUGAAGAUAAUGACUGUAGCAGGUAAAGAAACUCCGGCUAACUCCGUGCCAGCAGCCGCGGUAAUACGGAGGGGGUUAGCGUUGUUCGGAAUUACUGGGCGUAAAGCGCGCGUAGGCGGAUCAGCAAGUUAGGGGUGAAAUCCCGGGGCUCAACCCCGGAACUGCCCUUAAAACUGUUGGUCUUGAGUUCGAGAGAGGUGAGUGGAAUUCCGAGUGUAGAGGUGAAAUUCGUAGAUAUUCGGAGGAACACCAGUGGCGAAGGCGGCUCACUGGCUCGAUACUGACGCUGAGGUGCGAAAGUGUGGGGAGCAAACAGG
rnacentral:rRNA from 1 species